rnacentral:lncRNA from 1 species
CAGUACUUGGACGAGAACAAGUCAUUGAUUCUGAAGAUCGUUGAGAGCCAGAAUACAGGGAAAUUGAGUGAAUGCGUAAAGUGAGCAUUUACUUUUUCAUUGACUGCUCUGCUUUGGACAUCUUUUAUUUUCACAGAUUGCUAUUUAUAAGCAACGUAUAUCUGUUAGGCUAUUUUUAUUUAUAUGUUAACUUGCUUUCUAAUUGAUACUGCAUGGUUGCAACUCAUGGUUUGCUUGGAAUUUGCUUGGAAUUUGCUCAAUGUUGUUGUUCUUUGAACCUGUUUUUUGUUGUGAUAUUUGAAUUUCUCAUAUAUUAGACCAUGUCUUCCUCUUUUUGAUCUGUUUACUAUCACUAAUCUCUAAUUUUUUGAUCACUAAUCUCUAAUUUUUUGAUCAUAAUGGAAUUUCUUUGAUUAUAUAUAGAUGUUGUUUCGCUAGAGCACCAAUGAAGAAAGCAUUUAGAUUUGAUGUGUUUGAUGUCAAUGGUAUGAAUCUCUCUCUCUCUCUCUCUCUCUCUCUCUCAUAUUUUGGUUUGGGAUUUUUGAAUUCUUUUUUUGUGAAUUAAUUUUGCUGGGUUUAAUGAUAUUAUCAGCUAGCUGCAUUUGACUUGGUGUAAAUCACGUACUUGGUCUGCUUAAGUUCUUUAUGGUAUCUACAAAAAAAAACAAAAACAAAACAAAAACAAAAACAAAAACAAAAAAAAGAAAAGUUCUUUAUGGUAAUUUAUAAAGUAAGAAUUUUGAUUCUGUUUUCUGGCGUUUUCCUUUGUUUCUCCAGCUAAUAGAUGUAGGGGUUUCCACACUGGCCAUUGAUUUGUGUUGGCUUUUUAGUGGGUAGUUGCCAAAACCUUGGAUUUGGAACUCAGUGGUAUUUGUUUCAACAAUUGAACAUAUUUUUCAUCUCUUGGUAGCAUUUGUUUUUCUACUUUGUUGGUUAAGCCAACCCCAUUGUAGUGCGUAGAAGGAGAUUUACAGUUUCAUAUUGUGUCUUCUGGAUAUUGUUAUCAAAUUAACAAAUUUCCUGAUCUCUCGAUCUCUGCUUUUGCUUACCUAAAUUGCAUUUGCUUCAAGUUGGAAUGAAUGAGGUAUUUUGAGGCUAUAUAAUUAUGUGAUUGUUGUGCUUCAUUCUAAUUACUGUUUAUUUUAUUUUUUUAGUAUGAAUCAUAGUUAAGCAGUCGUCCAAUUGCUAGGUCCAAAAAAGAAAAUUAAUAAGUUUUUCAUAUCUACAUGUCUUAUUGAAACUUUGGAAUUUUAUCUCAACAGAUUCAAUUGUCUGUCACAUCUCUGACUUAUUCACUGAAGCAAAGAAGCAAAGAUAAUUUUCAGGUUAAUGUUUCUUCAUUUUGUUUUAUUGACACAAUUUUUUCUUUUGGGUUCCCUCAAAAUUCCUUCACAAAAUUUGACUUGGCUCUACUAUUACGUGUUUUCUGCUCUCUCUUUCUGUUUUUUUCCCCCGAUUUAAUUAACAAAUUUUAGAACUUUAACCAGUUGUCUUCACCACCCAAACCAAAAUGUCCAAUUUGAAGCAAAUGUUUUUAAUUUUGGGUUUUGUUUUCUUUUGUUUUUGCUGAAUUGAAAUUAACCCCAUUUUAAUGCUGCUCCUAAUCUCAUGUUGCAGGAUUCUCUUCCAACGAUCUAUCCAUUGCUAGGUAUGGGUAUACGCCCGCAUUCACCUACCUCUACAUUACUUUCUUUGUUUGCUAAUCAUACUUUUUUACCUAAUAAAGCAACAAGCAGCUCAAAAAAGAACAAUGAAAACAUUGAACAGAGAAAAUCAUUUUGCUUGCUCCUUUGUAUUUGAUUAUUAUUAUACCAACCAAAACAAUGAAGACUACAACCUGGACAUGCUCAAGAUUGAACUUUGCAAUAUAUGUAUUAUAUUUUUUAAUUAAUUAAUCAUUUGUAUUAAUAACCAAUCUUUUGUACUAAUCAUCGAUGUACCCUAAUUUGAUUUAUAUAUAAGAAGUUCAUUUUCAAUGUAUGAGUUAAUGCCUUAACUUCAAUUUUUAAGUAAAGGUUUAAAAAA